UUCACCUCCCAGGUCCCAUCUUGUCGUCUGCUGCUGAGUUAGACUGCGGACGAGGUGACCCGGGAGUUUGGACGUAUGGAGGCCUUCUCCCCCUCACUACCCACCCCCGCCCCCGUCAGUGUCACCCCUCUUCUGCUCUUUGUGCCCACGUGUGGGGAGGAGGAAUGGAAAGCAGGGAGGUGCCUGAAUCACCAUUGCUUUCCCCUUUAAAAGAGUGAUUUCUGCUUAAGAGAUUGACGAAGUCUGGCUCUGGCCUGGCACGUUUUGGCAGCAGCUAGAGAAAAAUACGGCAGACAGCAGGGCAUGCUUCGCCUGUUCAUUCCACACCAUUUGAAGCCCCGUUUUGGCUUCCCUGGUGGCUCAGCUGGACUGAUGGACUCUGCAACUGCAGAACCAGCCGAUCCAGAGGACCCACUGUAGUAUUCUCCCCACGCAACAGAGGAGGGAGCAAGGUGCUGAUGCUGCCUGGGGUUUAAUGGAGUUCGUUUUCAAUCCAGGUGGCAGACCUUGCCCAAUCAAUGAGAAUUAACCCUGCACUUGGAGCCUGGCCUAUACUCGACAUUUUUCCACUCAGAACCAGGACAAAGGGCUGUUUCUCUACUUAAAUGACUUGGGAAUUGAAGCAGGAAGAGCUGUUAUUGGAAAAUACCUCUGUAACAGCUGCCGAGGUACUUGGUGAUCCCUUGAGUUUCCUCAAGGGCUCUCUGAGACGUCUUAGUUUUUCCUUCUGGGAAAGAGGUCCACCCUGCUCUAGAUGUAAAAAAAUGGGUUACUUAACUAAGAAAAAUGCAAAGAAUGUAACUUCAGACCAGAAGUUUCUACAUAUGAAGCAGCCCUGAACCACUUUAAGGCCCAGGGCUUGGCUUCUUCCUCCCAGGGACCCUUGGCGGUCAGCCUCUAUUUCCUACCACCCACGAGUUCUUUGUUCUCUUGCUGGCAUUGAAUCUUCCUCAAAUUAUUAAUAAAAAUGACCGCUUUAUUUUAACUCUAAAGUCCACUCUGGGACCUUCUUACUAAAUUCCAGCUUUCCAUCUAAUGGACACAAGGAUGUUCUCUAAUACACACCCAAGUGAU